rnacentral:rRNA from 1 species
UGAGGAAUUUUGCGCAAUGGCCGCAAGGCUGACGCAGCAACGCCGCGUGGGUGAAGAAGGCCUUCGGGUCGUAAAGCCCUGUCAGGUGGGAAGAAUAUCCCUGUGGUGAAUAAUUACGGGGACUGACGGUACCACCAGAGGAAGCACCGGCUAACUCCGUGCCAGCAGCCGCGGUAAUACGGAGGGUGCAAGCGUUAUUCGGAAUUACUGGGCGUAAAGCGCGUGCAGGCGGGCGAGCAAGUCUGAUGUGAAAGCCCCGGGCUUAACCUGGGAAGUGCAUUGGAAACGGUUCGUCUUGAGUUCUGGAGAGGAUGGGGGAAUUCCCGGUGUAGAGGUGAAAUUCGUAGAGAUCGGGAGGAAUACCAGUGGCGAAGGCGCCCAUCUGGACAGUAACUGACGCUGAGACGCGAAAGCGUGGGGAGCAAACAGG